rnacentral:lncRNA from 1 species
UCACACCAUUCUCCUGCCUCAGCCUCCUGAGUAGCUGGGACUACAGGCGCCCACCACCACACCUGAUAUUUGAUGUGAUUCACCAGUACAGCCAUAUGAAGAUGAUAUUUUGAUUUUAGGAAUGUUUCAUUACAAAUGCAAUUCCUUCAACAGAGUUCAAAAUAUCUCAUAAAGCAGUGGAGACAACUUGCAACAUCAAUAAUGCAUUUUGGCCCAGGAGUGGCUAACAUAUGUACAGAGCAGCGGUGGUUCAAGAAGUUUUGCAAAGGAGACGACAGCCUUGAAGAUAAGAAGCCUAGUGGGCAGCCAUCGGAAGUUGACAAUGACCAAGUGAGAGCAAUCAUCAAAGCUGAUCCUCUUACAACAACACAAGACGUUGCCAAAGAACCCAAUGACGACCAUUCUACUGUCAUUGGGCAUUUGAAGCAAAUUGGAAAGGUGAAAAAGCUGGAUAAGUGGGUGCCUCAUGAGCUGACUGAAAGAAAAUUCAAAAAAAAAAUUGUCGUUUUGAAGUGUCAUCUUCUCGUAUUCUAUGCAACAACAAUGAACCAUUUCUCAAUCGGAUUGUGAUGCGCGAUGAAAAGUGGAUUUUAUAGGACAACUGGCGAUGACCAGCUCAGUGGUUGGACCGAGCUCCAAAGCACUUCCCAAAGCCAAACUUCCACCAAAAAAAAGGUCAUGGUCACUGUUUGGUGGUUUGCUGCUGGUCUGAUCCACUACAGCUUUCUGAAUCCUGGCGAAACCAUUACCUCUGAGAAGUAUGCUCAGCAAAUCGAUGAGAUGCACUGAAAACUGCAACGCUGCAGCUGGCAUUGGGCAACAGAAAGGGCCCAAUUCUUCUCUACAACAAUGCCCAACCACACGUCGCACAACCAACGCUUCAAAAGUUGAAUGAAUUGGGCUCUGAAGUUUUGCCUCAUCUGCCAUAUUCGCCUAACCUCUCGCCAACCGACUACCAUUUCUUCAAGCAUCUCGACAACUUUUUGCAGGGAAAAUGCUUCCACAACCAGCAGGAUGCAGAAAAUGCUUUCCAACAGUUCAUCAAAUCCAGAAGCACAGAUUUUUACACUACAGGAAUAAACAAACUUAUUUCUUGUUGGCAAAAAUGUGUUCAUUGUAAUGGAUUCUAUUUUGAUUAAUAAAGAUGUGUUUAGUUAUAAAAUGAUUUAAAAUUCAUACUUUUGCACCAACCUCUAAAUUAAAGACUUGCUUAAAGAUUCUGUUGCCUGUUGUCACAUAGAACAGAGACUAAUCUCACUGGGUUGGAUUAUGUGUGGAAAUACACCAAAACUCACCACUGUCUGGGUCAUUCUGAAGUGAAGAAAAGAACAUGAUAAUUUCACAAAACAGUGAGAAAGUGAAGAGCUUACCGAUGUGAACUCUGAAUCAGAUAGCCCUGGCUUUGAGCACCAGCACUGCUUUUUAAUAGCUUUGUGACUAUGGGUGAAAGAAAUUACCUGUCUGAGCCUCAUUAGCCUUAUUUGUAAAAUAUAAAUAAAAUCUAUUUUUUCCCCCAUAAAUUUGUUGUGAGGGAUAAAUGAGGUAAUCAAAGUGCUUAGCAUAUACCUAGCAUGUGAUAAGGAGUCAGUAAAGGACAGCCAUUAUUAUCAUUAACUUUAGUAUGCAAAUUGGUUUAAUUUCUUUGCUGUAACACUGUAAUGUCUACUCAUGUAUAGAAAUCAUAUAUGACACUUAACUGUAUUCAUAUUUCAUUUUACAUGCUAUUCAAAUGUUUGGUUAAUAUAUAUAUAUAUAUAUAUUUGCAACAGCAAGCUUAUCAGAGGUCUUAAUCCACAAAGUUGUCAUCACCUCUAAUCCAGUGUCUAAUACCAUUUCUCAGAAGAGCAAACAUUUCCUUUAGAGCACUUAUAGCAGUGAGUUAAAUGUGAAGGCUCUGGGUUGGUGCUCAGUCAUUUGAAAGCAAGAAAAACUUACAACCUUUUUAUAAUAUGUGUUUAAAUGUUUAUUCGGUUCUGUCAAGGUAACUCAAAACUGUCUACAGUAAAUCCUACGUGUAAAAUCACAGAAAGGGGAAAUGGUAAUUAAGCCUUCAUGUUGGGAUGUAGAUUACUUACCUACUCAGGGAUGUGUUCUUUAUGGUUGCUGUUUUGAUAGGUGGGGAAGCACACUCAAUCUCAGUGGCCUCCUCUAUUGUGACUUUGAAGAUGAGGCAGUU